rnacentral:rRNA from 1 species
UACGUAGGGUGCGAGCGUUGUCCGGAAUUAUUGGGCGUAAAGGGCUCGUAGGCGGUCUGUUGCGUCAGGAGUGAAAACUCGGGCUUAACCCCGAGCCUGCUUCUGAUACGGGCAGACUAGAGGUAUGCAGGGGAGAACGGAAUUCCUGGUGUAGCGGUGAAAUGCGCAGGAUAUCAGGAGGAACACCGGUGGCGAAGGCGGUUCUCUGGGCAUUACCUGACGUGAGGAGCGAAAGUGUGGGGAGCGAACGGG